rnacentral:lncRNA from 1 species
GGGUAGCCUUCCGCUCGGUCGGAGCCGCGGUCACGGGGCUUGGCGGUGGCCCUCGUCCUUCGUUACUCAGGAGAAAAAAAGAGGGAGAGAGAGAGAGAAAAUCAAGUCGCAGCCGGCUUGGCCCGGUGUUGGGGGCGGUCGCGCGGAACGGUGAGGCUGUGAGAACUUCCCCAGCUGCUGACUGAAGUGGGAAGUGAGGUGUGAACUGAGACCCCGGGAGAGAGGCCCUCCGGGUAGGACCUGGCCUCGGACUGGCGGCGUAAAGGGUGGCCUUGCCACCGACUGAGAGUGGUUGAGCUGGCCUCUGGCCGAGUGUGGGGAGAGAGGCUUCACUUCUUUGUACACAUGUGCAGAGGCUAUGAAGUCCAGGAUUAAGGUGCUGGCCAAUUCAGUUUCUGGUGAAGACUCUUCUGGAGUUGCAGACUUCUGAGUUUAUCUUCAAAUGGCCUUUCCCCAGUGGGCGUAUGUGGGGAGAGGGGAGAGCCAUCCUGCCUGAAACUCAGGAAACACAAGGUCCCUGGUUGUGUAAUAUGAGUACACUUGAAAGUUCCUCGUCCUUAUCUGGCAACCCAGAUGGAUAAAUACUGGCCCUGAAGAUGCUUUUCUUAAAACUACUUGGAGCCAGACAGUUUGAACAGAACCUCAUCUGGAGUGUGUUAACUCUUCUCCCCCGGCGUUGGCAGAGAUCUGGGAUCAGCUCUGCAUUAGGACAAGUUGUAAGUAAACACGCAUUUGUGCUAAUGUGGCUCCUCCUCCCAUCCCAUAGCCUUAUCUUAGAUUUGUGCAGCUUCAAAUCAGGGAACAGGAGUGUGUUUGGAAAAAACCUUAGAUCUCAUUUAAGCCAGCCCACCCAUUUUACGGAAGAGCCAAUUGAAGAUGUUAAGUUGUUCAUGUUCACGGAGAUAACUUGGGGAUGUGAACAGAGCUGGAAAGCAGGUCUUCUGACUCUUAGUUAACUUUUACCACAACCAUGUACUUCAAUUUUCACUCAUUCCUUCAAAAAAUAUGUAUUGAGCUGCUAACACCUUUUGC